rnacentral:rRNA from 1 species
UACGAAGGGGGCUAGCGUUGUUCGGAAUUACUGGGCGUAAAGCGCACGUAGGCGGACUACUAAGUCAGGGGUGAAAUCCCGGGGCUCAACCCCGGAACUGCCUUUGAUACUGGCAGUCUCGAGUCCGGAAGAGGUGAGUGGAAUUCCGAGUGUAGAGGUGAAAUUCGUAGAUAUUCGGAGGAACACCAGUGGCGAAGGCGGCUCACUGGUCCGGUACUGACGCUGAGGUGCGAAAGCGUGGGGAGCAAACAGG